CCGGGCGUUUGUCAUCUACCGAUCCAAACCUGCAAAACAUUCCGGUGCGCAAUGAUGAAGGGCGACGCAUUCGCCAGGCGUUUAUUGCGCCGAAAGAUUAUGUGAUUGUCUCGGCAGACUACUCGCAAAUUGAACUGCGUAUUAUGGCGCAUUUGUCGCGCGAUAAAGGCCUGCUGUCAGCCUUUGCUGAAGGUAAAGAUAUUCACCGGGCGACCGCCGCCGAAGUCUUCGGUUUGCCGCUGGAAAGCGUAAGCAAUGAACAGCGUCGCAGUGCGAAAGCGAUCAACUUUGGUUUGAUCUACGGAAUGAGUGCCUUUGGUUUGUCCCGACAGCUUAAUAUUCCGCGCAAAGAGUCGCAGAAGUAUAUGGAUCUUUACUUUGAGCGUUACCCUGGCGUACUGGAGUAUAUGGAGCGCACACGGGCGCAGGCGAAAGAUCGCGGUUAUGUGGAAACGCUGGAGGGCCGUCGUCUCUAUUUGCCGGACAUCAAAUCAAGCAAUGCCGCCCGACGUGCAGGGGCGGAGCGGGUUAAAACUCAAAUGAAUUGACGGGGGCCCGCACAAGCGGUGGAGCAUGUGGUUUAAUUCGAUGCAACGCGAAGAACCUUACCUGGUCUUGACAUCCACAGAACCUGGCAGAGAUGCCGGGGUGCCUUCGGGAACUGUGAGACAGGUGCUGCAUGGCUGUCGUCAGCUCGUGUUGUGAAAUGUUGGGUUAAGUCCCGCAACGAGCGCAACCCUUAUCCUUUGUUGCCAGCGGUCCGGCCGGGAACUCAAAGGAGACUGCCAGUGAUAAACUGGAGGAAGGUGGGGAUGACGUCAAGUCAUCAUGGCCCUUACGACCAGGGCUACACACGUGCUACAAUGGCGCAUACAAAGAGAAGCGACCUCGCGAGAGCAAGCGGACCUCAUAAAGUGCGUCGUAGUCCGGAUUGGAGUCUGCAACUCGACUCCAUGAAGUCGGAAUCGCUAGUAAUCGUGAAUCAGAAUGUCACGGUGAAUACGUUCCCGGGCCUUGUACACACCGCCCGUCACACCAUGGGAGUGGGUUGCAAAAGAAGUAGGUAGCUUAACCUUCGGGAGGGCGCUUACCACUUUGUGAUUCAUGACUGGGGUGAAGUCGUAACAAGGUAACCGUAGGGGAACCUGCGGUUG
rnacentral:rRNA from 1 species